CCGAUGUACGAGACGGACGGCAGUGAUGGAGACCGUAGACGAGGUGGAGAAGGUGGAGGGUAGAGGCGGUGGAGGCGGUACACGCGAUGGAGGGCGGAGACGGAGGACGCGAUGGAAGGUGGAGACGGUAGCACGCGGUGGAGACGGCGACAGAGGUAGAAGAAGACUGCGUUGAGAAUACGGCGGCGGAGGUAGAAGAAGACUGCGUUGAGGAUACAGCGGCGGAGGUAGAAGAAGACUGCUAAAGAAGACGGGUGGAGAUGAUGCGGUUUGGCAGAGGUUCCGAGAUCUGGUGGAGGAGAAGACCGCCAUGGCCGGGAGAGGGAAGAAGGGGAGCGGCGGAGGCGGUGGAAAUGGCGGCGGCGCUCAUCGUUGAGAAUGGAAAAAGGUGGAAGAGGGGAGAAGGAAAAGCGGCCGGGAGAGUUUUUAGAGUUUUAAUUAGGGGUGUAUAUCCCCUUUAAUUAAGUAGUUAUAAUUUCAAUUAGAGCCCUAAUUAUUUCCAAUUUUGGACUAGGCCUAUUGGAGUGGGACGUCCCAAAAAGGAAAACGAGCCUAUUGGGCUGG
rnacentral:lncRNA from 1 species